GACGAACGCUGGCGGCGUGCUUAACACAUGCAAGUCGAACGGAAAGGCCCGGCUUUUGCGGGGUGCUCGAGUGGCGAACGGGGGAGAAACACGCGAGUAACCUGCGCUUGACUGUGGGAGAACUUCAGGAAACUGGGGCUAAUACCGGAUAGGAGCUCCUGCUGCAUGGUGGGGGUUGGAAAGAUUCGGCGGAUGGGGAUGGACUCGGGGCUAAUCAGCUUGUAGGUGGGGUAGUGGCUGACCAAGGCUUUGACGGGUAGCCGGCCUGAGAGGGUGGCCGGCCCCCAUGGGCCUGCGGUACGGACCAGUCUCCUACGGGCGGCAACGGUCGCGAGUAUUACACAGUGGGGGGACGUCUGUUGCGGCAGCGCCGCGUGCGGGAUGCCGGCCUUCGGGUUGUGAACCGCUUUCGGCUGUGACGAAGCGUGAGUGACGGUAACGGGUAAAGAAGCACCGGCUAACUACGUG
rnacentral:rRNA from 1 species